UACGAAGGGGACUAGCGUUGUUCGGAAUUACUGGGCGUAAAGCGCACGUAGGCGGAUUUGUAAGUCAGGGGUGAAAUCCCGGGGCUCAACCUCGGAACUGCCUUUGAUACUGCAAAUCUCGAGUCCGAUAGAGGUGGGUGGAAUUCCUAGUGUAGAGGUGAAAUUCGUAGAUAUUCGCAAGAACACCAGUGGCGAAGGCGGCUCACUGGCCCGGUACUGACGCUGAGGUGCGAAAGCGUGGGGAGCAACAGGAUUAGAAACCCUG
rnacentral:rRNA from 1 species